rnacentral:sRNA from 1 species
GCUGGGUGCGCUGGCGCACACCAGUAAUCCCGGUUCCUCAGGAGGCUGAGGCAGGAGGAUCGCAAGUUCAAGGCCAACCUCGGCAACUUAGUGAGACCCUGUCUCAA